ACUAUUUUGACAGAAAAAUGUGAUGAUUUUAGAAGUCAUUAAUAUAUAAUUUUAUUAUAUAUAUAGUA
rnacentral:tRNA from 1 species